rnacentral:lncRNA from 1 species
AGUGACUUCGCCGCUGCUGUAGUUCCCCGGCUGGAUGCGGUGACUGGUGCCAGUGCUCAGGCGCCCGCUGCCCUUGACCUCCCGCCCCGCGAGCCCUAACUCAGCGCAGGAGGACCGGCUGCCGCCGCCGCCGCCGCCAGGAGGUAGAUUGGGAAGUGGAGCUGGCCGUGGUCAUUGGAAAGAAAGGCAAGCACAUCAAGGUGAAGUGGAAAAGGUGGGCUCCCAGGCCAGAGUGCAGCAGAGUCCCCAGCUCCUGCCUCUCCUAGUUCUGACCUCGCUCACCAACACAUGGUGCCAGCUGUCCCUGACACUAGGAAGCAGUCAGCCUCCUUGCUCCCUGACACUGCCUUUCCCUUCACCCACCUUUGGCUGGCUCUGGCUACUAACAUGGGAUAACAGCUUUGAGAUCCCUUGCCACAGGUGUUGGUGUCACCCAUGAUCUAUCCUCCUGUAUGGCCAAAUCCCCUGCCCCCAUAGGCCACAGAUGCCAUGGCCCACGUGGCCGGCUUCACUGUGGCUCAUGACGUGAGUGCUCGUGACUGGCUAACAAGAUGCAAUGGGAAACAGUGGCUGCUGGGAAAAACCUUCGACACCUUCUGCCCUCUGGGCCCUGCCUUGGUGACCAAGGACAGUGUAGCAGAUCCACACAACUUAAAGAUCUGCUGUCGAGUGAAUGGGGAAGUGGUCCAGAGCAGCAACACCAACCAGAUGGUAUUCAAGACAGAGGACCUGAUAGCCUGGGUGUCCCAGUUUGUUACCUUUUACCCAGGGGAUGUCAUCCUGACUGGGACCCCCCCACCUCCACCCAGGUGUCGGUGUAUUCAGGAAACCUCCUGUCUUUCUCAAGGUCUCUGAAGGUCCAGACAGCACUGAUGGCGAGCUUUGGGUCCGCACACUCUGGAAAGAAGAGAGAAGUGAAGGCUCUAGGAGCCUGGGCUGACUGGUUGGGACUCACCGAAGAUCCCUUCUUCCUGGGCGGUGGCCUGCAGGAACUGGAACAGCUGCUCUGUGUAGCCCAACUCUGCAGAAGAGAGAAGACCUAGACCUGGCACCCAGCACAGACACAGCCUGCCUCGAGGACUGCAAGGGAACAAGGGCCUCACCAGUAUCGGGCAGCUGGCCCUGGCGGAGGAAGGCGGCAGCCUGUGCAAAGGCCUUGAGCAGCGGGCUGAGCAGGCGGCAGAGGAAAAGAAAGAAAUCUGGGCAGUGUGACUGCUGGCUGAGCUGGAGGGGACAGGCCGGGGUGAGUGCAGCUCCCCACCGCCUCCCUACCACCUCCCUCCAGGGGCAGCUUUUUGAAACACACCCUGAAGUACCGGCCGUCAGCCUCUCCGAAGUCAUCACUGUCACUAUCAGUAAAGUCCCCACUCGGUUUCCACAGCA